rnacentral:rRNA from 1 species
AUUGAACGCUGGCGGCAGGCCUAACACAUGCAAGUCGAGCGGAUGAAGGGUGCUUGCUCCUGGAUUCAGCGGCGGACGGGUGAGUAAUGCCUAGGAAUCUGCCUGGUAGUGGGGGAUAACGUCCGGAAACGGGCGCUAAUACCGCAUACGUCCUGAGGGUGAAAGAGGGGGAUCUUCGGACCGCACGCUAUCAGAUGAGCCUAGGUCGGAUUAGCUAGUUGGUGGGGUAAAGGCCUACCAAGGCGACGAUCCGUAACUGGUCUGAGAGGAUGAUCAGUCACACUGGAACUGAGACACGGUCCAGACUCCUACGGGAGGCAGCAGUGGGGAAUAUUAGACAAUGGGCGAAAGCCUGAUCCAGCCAUGCCGCGUGUGUGAAGAAGGUCUUCGGAUUGUAAAGCACUUUAAGUUGGGAGGAAGGGCAGUAAGUUAAUACCUUGCUGUUUUGACGUUACCAACAGAAUAAGCACCGGCUAACUUCGUG